rnacentral:misc_RNA from 1 species
AGCGCAAACUACUUAGGCGAAGUUGAAACUGGUCUUCCCAACGUGGAAAUAAAAACAGUCUAAGCAUGUUAUGAUUUGUUUCUGAAGCACGUUUCUUGGGAGAGCAAUCAACAAUAUACUAAAUCAUUUUCUGUAGAACAGGGAUUGGGUUUUGUUUAUUACUUUCCAAUGUUAUAGAAGGGCUGCAGUGUGUUUCAUGCAUUUCACUUCACAAUUAUUUCAGACAAUGAGGGAUUGGAGUCUUCACCAUCAGUUGAAAUAGUAUUGAUUGGCCCAGGAUUUUGUGGUUCCAUCAGAUUUCAAAAUACUAAUACCUCAAUGAUGAUGUUUGACAUCAUCAGUAAUGGCCUCAAUACUGAUUAAUAAUUUAGGAAAAAUGUAAAUAAAUUACAGGAGGUAAUUCCUUUGGGUUACCAAAAGUGCGCCCUUUAUUGACAGGAUAGAGGUUCUUAGGUAAGCUAUCUAAUUGGGCAAAGACUUGGUUUUGAAUCACUAUGUGAGUUGUAACAGGUAAAUCCGCCUUUUGGUUUGGUCCAUACAUGUUGAAUUUUACAUUUCAAUAUCAGUGGGGGAAAAUGUUGCUAUAGAGAAAACUUUCUUCUGUGAUAGGUAUAUGGAAGAUUUAACAACUUUUCAGCAACUGACUGAUGGUCUAAAGGUUUAUAAAUAUUGCAUGUUCGGCAAUCUGAUUGAUUGUGAUAAAGGAUCUCUGAGGCUUAUGAUCAACUUCACAAUUGAAGACUAUUAACUUGUUGUAAA